rnacentral:tRNA from 1 species
GUGCAGGGAUGGGAAUCGAACCCACUGUGUUCCGCUUACCGGGCAGAUGCCAUGUCCACUAGGCUACCCUGCA